rnacentral:rRNA from 1 species
UACGUAGGUGGCAAGCGUUGUCCGGAUUGACUGGGCGUAAAGCGCACGCAGGCGGUUGCGCGCGUGGGGUGUGAAAUCUGGCCGCUUAACGGCCAGGCGCCCAUCCCAUACGGCGCGACUGGAGUGAUGCAGAGGUCGAUGGAAUUGCCGGUGUAGUGGUGAAAUGCGUAGAGAUCGGCAGGAACACCCAGGGGGAAACCAGUCGACUGG